UCCCGCAAGGGAUAGCGGCAAACGGGUGAGUAACACGUGGGUAAUCUAGCCUCAAGACGGGAAUAACACCUCGAAAGAGGUGCUAAUGCCGGAUAAGACCACAUUCCGCUGGGAGUGUGGGAAAAACGUGGCCUCUAUUUAUAAGCUACGGCUUGAGGAGGAGCCCGCGUCCUAUCAGCUAGUUGGUAGGGUAACGGCCUACCAAGGCGUUUGACGGGUAGCUGGCCUGAGAGGGUGGUCAGCCACACUGGGACUGAGACACUGCCCAGACUCCUACGGGAGGCUGCAGUCGAGAAUCUUUCGCAAUGGGCGCAAGCCUGACGAUGCGACGCCGCGUGCAGGAUGAAGGCCUUCGGGUCGUAAACUGCUGUCAAGUGGGGCGAAGUCCGACGGGGUGAACAAUCCCGACGGAUUGACGGUACCACGAGAGGAAGCCACGGCCAACUCCGUGCCAGCAGCCGCGGUAAGACGGAGGUGGCAAGCGUUGCUCGGAUUCAUUGGGUGUAAAGGGCAUGUAGGCGGCCCAGUAAGUCCUGAUUGAAAUCCUCCAGCUCAACUGGAGAACUGGUCAGGAAACUGCUGGGCUCGAGUGCGGAAGAGGA
rnacentral:rRNA from 1 species